rnacentral:rRNA from 1 species
UACGUAGGGUGCAAGCGUUGUCCGGAAUUAUUGGGCGUAAAGAGCUCGUAGGCGGUCUGUCGCGUCGGCUGUGAAAAACUCGGGGCUCAACCCCGAACUUGCAGUGGGUACGGGCAGACUAGAGUGUGGUAGGGGAGACUGGAAUUCCUGGUGUAGCGGUGAAAUGCGCAGAUAUCAGGAGGAACACCGAUGGCGAAGGCAGGUCUCUGGGCCAUAACUGACGCUGAGAAGCGAAAGCAUGGGGAGCGAACGG